rnacentral:rRNA from 1 species
ACGCUAGCUACAGGCUUAACACAUGCAAGUCGAGGGGAAACGGCAUUUAGUGCUUGCACUUUUUGGACGUCGACCGGCGCACGGGUGAGUAACGCGUAUCCAACCUUCCCAUGACUAAGGGAUAACCUGCCGAAAGGCAGACUAAUACCUUAUGGUCUUCACUGACGGCAUCAGAUGUGAAGUAAAGAUUUAUCGGUUAUGGAUGGGGAUGCGUCUGAUUAGCUUGUUGGCGGGGUAACGGCCCACCAAGGCGACGAUCAGUAGGGGUUCUGAGAGGAAGGUCCCCCACAUUGGAACUGAGACACGGUCCAAACUCCUACGGGAGGCAGCAGUGAGGAAUAUUGGUCAAUGGGCGAGAGCCUGAACCAGCCAAGUAGCGUGCAGGAUGACGGCCCUAUGGGUUGUAAACUGCUUUUGUAUGGGGAUAAAGUCAAUCACGUGUGAUUGUUUGCAGGUACCAUACGAAUAAGGACCGGCUAAUUCCGUGCCAGCAGCCGCGGUAAUACGGAAGGUCCGGGCGUUAUCCGGAUUUAUUGGGUUUAAAGGGAGCGUAGGCUGGAGAUUAAGUGUGUUGUGAAAUGUAGACGCUCAACGUCUGACUUGCAGCGCAUACUGGUUUCCUUGAGUACGCACAACGUUGGCGGAAUUCGUCGUGUAGCGGUGAAAUGCUUAGAUAUGACGAAGAACUCCGAUUGCGAAGGCAACUGACGGGAGCGCAACUGACGCUGAAGCUCGAAGGUGCGGGUAUCGAACAGGAUUAGAUACCCUGGUAGUCCGCACAGUAAACGAUGGAUGCCCGCUGUUGGUACCUGGUAUCAGCGGCUAAGCGAAAGCAUUAAGCAUCCCACCUGGGGAGUACGCCGGCAACGGUGAAACUCAAAGGAAUUGACGGGGGCCCGCACAAGCGGAG